ACAGAAGAUAGGAAAACGCAUGUCUAAGUUUCUGUUGUACUCGUUACUUUAUGAAAUGGUCGUUUCUGUAAACGAUAAUUCUAUUAUAAUAAAAUUAUUUGAUAAUUGAAAGUACACCAAAUCUUAGCUUUACUGUACAGUGAAAGAGGGAGCUGAAGGCGUUAAUGUUGAAAUGAAUUAAUCCUUUCAUAUUACAAUUUGCUUAAUUUAAGGAUUCGGUUUAUUAUUUGCACGUGACUGUUGCUGUAUGUUAAUUUUAUAAUAGUGUUUUGUAUAUGAUUCAAAGAAAUUCUGCAAAAUGCCGAAAAUACGCAAUGAAAAAAAAUCCCGGAUUCACAAAGAAGUUGCAAAACAGGGAAUUUUAUUUAAUACCAAUAUUGGACAACACAUUUUAAAGAAUCCACUUGUAAUACAAAGUAUGGUUGAGAAGGCUGCACUUAGACCAACAGAUGUUGUACUAGAGAUAGGUCCUGGUACAGGUAACAUGACAGUCAAAUUAUUGGAUAAAGCCAAGAAAGUAAUAGCAUGUGAAGUGGAUACUCGAAUGGUAGCUGAGUUACAAAAACGUGUACAAGGCACUCCAUAUCAGCCCAAAUUACAAAUUAUGAUAGGAGAUGUUUUGAAAACAGACUUGCCAUUUUUUGACUUGUGUGUUGCUAAUAUACCAUACCAAAUAUCAUCCCCACUAGUAUUUAAAUUACUUCUGCACAGACCUUUAUUCAGAUGUGCGGUACUUAUGUUUCAAAGAGAAUUUGCUGAACGUUUAGUGGCAAAACCAGGAGAUAAAUUGUAUUGUCGAUUAAGUAUAAAUACUCAAUUAUUAGCUAGAGUGGAUUUGCUCAUGAAAGUAGGGAAAAAUAAUUUUAGACCACCACCAAAGGUGGAAUCAAAUGUAGUUAGAAUAGAACCACGUAAUCCACCACCACCAGUUAAUUAUCAGGAAUGGGAUGGUUUAACACGAAUAGCAUUUGUUAGAAAGAAUAAAACUCUUUCAGCAGUAUUUAAACAAACUACAGUGUUAACAAUGUUAGAAAAAAAUUAUAAACUUCAUUGUAGUUUGAAUAAUAAGGCUAUACCUGAAGGAUUUGAUAUUAAAGAAUUGAUAAGCAAAAUUUUACAAAAAGCAGAUGCUGAAAACAAACGUGCCAGGACCAUGGAUAUAGAUGAUUUUAUCAGCAUUUUACACGCAUUUAACACGGAAGGAGUGCAUUUUACAUAAUUGGAAUUUUAAUUUAUGUAAAAAAAGGUACACAUUAUACAUGAAGUGAAAGAUGUAAUGUUUACAGAAAAUAAAUUUGUUUAAAUAAUUCAGAACUAAUAUUCUGAAUAAAAUUUAACAUCCAUGUCACGAAUAUUGCAGUGUUCAAGGAAAAAUAAAAAAGUUAAUAUCCACUGAAAAUUGUUUUACGAUUUACAUGCUGCAUAUAUGUAUAGUCUAGAUUUAACAGUUUUAAAUCUGCAUACUUUACAAAAAAAGAUCCAUGUAAACUUUUAAUUAAAUUAUUUGCUCAUUACAUACAUGUAUAUUUACAAACAUUCUUUGGGAAUCAAAAUCGUAAACAAAUAUACUGAACUUUAUUGUACAGUUAUGAAGACCACUGAAGUAAACAAG